GCCCCAGUAGCUCAAAGGAUAGAGCAGCGGUCUUCUAAACCGUUGGUUGGGGGUUCGAGUCCCUCCUGGGGCA
rnacentral:tRNA from 1 species